ACUAUCCCUUUGCGCAUUCUGUUCUGGCGCUACAAAUCAACGCGCUUCCCUACCUCGCCGGAAUUUCUCUACUGAAAGCGUUCGUCGCCUCCAGACACACAUAUAAGGCGUCAUGGGACGGACAAAUUUUGUUGGGGCACUCGCCAAGGAAUGCUUCCGCAUCAAAAGACUGAUUCCAUCGAGCAUGGCCUCCAAGAACUGGCGGAGUGCGCAAUCUUGGAGGCCAUUGUUGAACAGUUCGUGGCAGUUCUCCCGUGACACGAGUAUAGUUCGACGCUUACUCGAAAAUUUAUGCCUGUUUUGGUUUGAAGCCUCGGAUAAUUGCCGUCGAUGGACAGUCACUGUGCAGGCGAGCAGAGAAGUGGACGAAGAGGAAGGACCGUAUUGACAGUGUUAAAAAUGUUUUCGCAUAUUUAAUUCAAAACGUAUUCACACGACCACGUCACACAACAUCCACUGAGUGCCUUGGAUACUGUCGCGUGAGAACGUGCCUCAUGAACUUCGAUGUAUAAACACCGGGCUGUCACGUCUCUUUAUUGUAA
rnacentral:lncRNA from 1 species